AACGAACGCUGGCGGCGUGGUUUAGGCAUGCAAGUCGAGCGAGAAAGUCCUUCGGACGAGUACAGCGGCGAAAGGGUAGAGUAAUAUAUAGGUAACCUACCUCUUGGACUCGGAUAAUUCCUGGAAACGGGUUGUAAUACGAGAUCGUCCUAUUGGGUCGCAUGGCCCGACUGGUAAAUGGUAGCUCUGCUUCUGCCGAGAGAGGGGCCUAUAUCCUAUUAGCUAGUUGGUGAGGUAAUGGCUCACCAAGGCUUUGAUGGGUAGCCGGACUGAGAGGUUGGCCGGUCACACUGGGACUGAGACACUGCCCAGACUCCUACGGGAGGCUGCAGUCGAGAAUCUUCCGCAAUGGGCGAAAGCCUGACGGGGCGACGCCGCGUGAACGAAGAAGGCCUUC
rnacentral:rRNA from 1 species